CCCCAGACUCCUACGGGAGGCAGCAGUGGGGAAUAUUGCACAAUGGGGGAAACCCUGAUGCAGCGACGCCGCGUGAGUGAGGAAGUAUUUCGGUAUGUAAAGCUCUAUCAGCAGGGAAGAAAAUGACGGUACCUGACUAAGAAGCCCCGGCUAACUACGUGCCAGCAGCCGCGGUAAUACGUAGGGGGCAAGCGUUAUCCGGAUUUACUGGGUGUAAAGGGAGCGUAGACGGCUAAUCAAGUCAGAAGUGAAAACCCGGGGCUCAACCUUGGGAGUGCUUUUGAAACUGAGUAGCUAGAGUGCAGGAGAGGUAAGCGGAAUUCCUAGUGUAGCGGUGAAAUGCGUAGAUAUUAGGAGGAACACCAGUGGCGAAGGCGGCUUACUGGACUGUAACUGACGUUGAGGCUCGAAAGCGUGGGGAUCAAACAGGAUUAGAUACCCCAGUAC
rnacentral:rRNA from 1 species